GCAUAACGCGAAGAACCUUACCAAGGCUUGACAUGCAUUUCUAAGCGCGUGAAAGCGCGUGACCCUUCGGGGGACUUGCACAGGUGCUGCAUGGCCGUCGUCAGCUCGUGUCGUGAGAUGUUGGGUUAAGUCCCGCAACGAGCGCAACCCUUGCGAACAGUUGCCAGCGCGUGAUGGCGGGAACUCUGUUCGGACUGCCCAGAUCAACUGGGAGGAAGGUGGGGAUGACGUCAGGUCAGUAUGGCCCUUACGCCUUGGGCUGCACACGUACUACAAUGCCCGGCACAAUGAGAACCGAGACCGCGAGGUGGAGGAAAUCUGGAAAACCGGGCCCAGUUCGGAUUGGAGGCUGCAACCCGCCUCCAUGAAGUCGGAAUCGCUAGUAAUGGCGCAUCAGCUACGGCGCCGUGAAUACGUUCCCGGGUCUUGUACACACCG
rnacentral:rRNA from 1 species